CCUGGCUCAGAUUGAACGCUGGCGGCAUGCCUUACACAUGCAAGUCGAACGGUAACAGGUCUUCGGAUGCUGACGAGUGGCGAACGGGUGAGUAAUACAUCGGAACGUGCCCGAUCGUGGGGGAUAACGCAGCGAAAGCUGUGCUAAUACCGCAUACGAUCUACGGAUGAAAGCGGGGGAUCGCAAGACCUCGCGCGGACGGAGCGGCCGAUGGCAGAUUAGGUAGUUGGUGGGAUAAAAGCUUACCAAGCCGACGAUCUGUAGCUGGUCUGAGAGGACGACCAGCCACACUGGGACUGAGACACGGCCCAGACUCCUACGGGAGGCAGCAGUGGGGAAUUUUGGACAAUGGGGGAAACCCUGAUCCAGCCAUGCCGCGUGCAGGAUGAAGGCCUUCGGGUUGUAAACUGCUUUUGUACGGAACGAAAAGGUCCUUUCUAAUAAAGAGGGCUCAUGACGGUACCGUAAGAAUAAGCACCGGCUAAC
rnacentral:rRNA from 1 species